UGAAAUAUAGCUCAGUGAUAUAGCAUUUGUCUAGCAUGCAUAAGGCAUUGGUUCAGUCCCUAUUAUCACAC
rnacentral:tRNA from 1 species